rnacentral:tRNA from 1 species
GGGUCGUUAGCUCAGUCGGUAGAGCAGUUGACUUUUAAUCAAUUGGUCGCUGGUUCGAAUCAAGCACGACCCACCA